GAGCAAUUGCCUGGUACUUUGUCAAAAAAGAGAGUCAUCUGAAAGCGUAAGCUAAGGAUGAAGAAAGAUAAGUGUUUUUCUUUAUUUAUCACUCUUAAUGUUACAUUACAUCAUGAGAAUUACAUUUACAGAUUGAGAAUCCUAUGGUUUUAGCUCUGGUCUUUGUUAAUCUUUAGUGCUGCAUAAUGGUUGUGAGUCUUGACAGGCUGUGAUUGUACAUCUGCUGGAGAUUGCUUUUGCUUUAGAGAAAUUUUCUUGGAAAUUUCUUCUGUACUCACUUCUGUUUUGUUUUGUUCGCAAGUUGUUAAAAAACGUUGGGGAGCUAAAGACAAGCUCUGCGUGUUGGGCUUUAAUCUGUUGAUGUUGCUGGGCCUUAAUGCAGGAUUGUAUGGUGACGUGAGCUUAAGUGCAGCUGGGCUUGACGUAAUGGGCUUUGCUGCAGUUGGGCUCGGAGUGAUAUAUCUGAUAGGCCCCCUCAAACUUGGUGCAUCGAUUGCGUCGAUACCGUGUUUGGUCCAGAGCCAUGUUCGAAAAUGUGGCCGUGGAGGCCGAGGCCGAUUAACCGGCACUAGAAUGCCAUGCGGAAGCUUCCCGUAGCGAUUUCACUAUGUUCGGCCAAAAAUCGGUUUUAAGAAAUUUUUUUUUUUUGAGUUUUGAAGGUUUUAGAUCAAAUAUUAAAGAAGAUAUCAAU
rnacentral:lncRNA from 1 species